rnacentral:rRNA from 1 species
CAAGAGCGUAUAUUAAAGUUGCUGCGGUUAAAAAGCUCGUAGUUGGAUUUCAGUCUAGGAAGGUUAACUCGCCGAAAGGUUGUACGUUGAUUUUCCUCAGACUUCGUCAGAAGCUCGUGCUGCACUUAACUGUGUGGUACGAUGUUCUGACCUCUUACCUUGAGGAAAGUAAAGUGUUUCAGGCAGGCGACCCAGCUUGGAUACAUUAGCAUGGAAUAAUGAAAUGGAUCUCGGUUCGAUUUCGUUGGUUCUAGAGCUGAGGUGAUGAUCAAUAGGAACAGGCGAAGGUAUUCGUACUUGAGAGUGAGGAGUGAAAUCCGAUGAUCUCUUGAAGACGACCCGAGGCGAACGUAUUUGUCAAGGAUGUUUUCAUUGA